AACAAUUGGCAUUCAGGAUCUAAGGCACAGGAAAGUGAAAGAGAGGAAACAGCAGAUAAGAUCAUGUUGUCCUCUAAGAGGCUCCACCCAGCAGCUGACUCAGACAGAUGCAGAUACUCACAGCCAAACAGUGGAUGGAGCUUGGGGACUCUAAUGGAAGAAUGGGAAGAAGGAUUGUGGGCCAAAAAGGGAAGAACACACUUUUAAAGACUUGGCCAUUUUAUCCUGCAUAUGGUGCUAGAAAAUGACACCAUGACCCAAGGUAACAUAAUAAAAUUUCUCUGACAUCAUUUCCCAAAACAGGGAUUCAACUAGCAGUCCUCUGUAGGGAAGAAGAGCUCCCCCCACCCCCACCCCCAACUCAGUAGUGGGUGUGAGAAACCUUGACUCUAACAGUGAGAAAGUUGAGUUGAAUAGUAAGCCAAACAGUUUGCUUUGCUUGCACUUCCACCUGCCACAACACACCUGCAGCACUGUAGCUGGAGAUGUUCCCCAUGCCUAGAGUUCUACAGUGGGAAACGGUCACUGCAGACAGAUAUUCAGCUUUCCCCAUCUCAUCCUUUUCGGGAGGCUUAGGUAUGUAUUUUCACCUGGGAAAUACUGGGCUUGCCAGGAGAGCCAAUCCACCUGUAGUCAGGUACAAAUGAGGUAUGGUUCUCAGCAGACAGGAUGUAGAUCUUGACACUGCUGUCCAUUCCACUGGGAGGUCUCACAACAGAGAAACUAGCCAAAUCAUGGCUGCCUGAAUGUCUCUGUCAGCAUCCCCAAACAGCUUGAUGUGUUCCAUCUUCUGAUGACUGUGAUCAGCAACGACCUGCAGCAGAGGCAUCCACUGCUAGUAUGUCUCCCAUAGUUACAGUGCUAGAAGGCUUAUCCUCCCAAUGUAAGAUUCCUGACUAAGUCAUCGAGCAUCCUCAGAAAAGGAAAGAGAGCCACCUCAAUAAAUACAUAGAAAUCAACCAAAAAUGCAUUAAAGAUUUAAAUUCCAGGCCUGAAUCCAAAACUG
ensembl:processed_transcript Gm16169 predicted gene 16169